rnacentral:lncRNA from 1 species
GAAAGGCAAUUUAUGAUAUAAUCCAAACAGGAUUAGGACUAAAGUUAACUUUGUUUUGGAGGCUAUACCAUGCAAACUAACAAGAUAAACCACUUUAGAGUUUUAUGGACUUUUUGUACUUUUGAAAUAGUACAAAACAUUGAAAGCAACUAGGGACAUUGAAAGCAACUAAACUGCUAACUUAUUCAAGCUGGCCCUCUCACAUCAAUGACUUUUGUUAGUGUCCUGUAAGUUUUAAUGUAAAAAACCUCAUUUAUAUUUUUAAAAAAUCUUCACUACUAAUUCAGAAAGUCUUAUUCCCUUUUGAAGUCAAGUUAGUAAGACGAUAUAACUCUAUUAUAUUUGGCUUCUCACCUGAGGAAUGAUAUUUUCAAACCACUGCAAAAAGCAAAAAAGCCAACCCAGGGAAUGUUUAGAGUAGAAGGAGGUAAAACAAUGGGGAUAAGGAAUUAAGGUCUAGCAGUAAUCAGUACUCUAUGCUCUCCCCAAAUUUCUUAAACAGUGUAUAUAUUACUGUUCUCUUGGGAUAUAGAAAAUGCCAGAAGAUGUAUUUAAUAUAUCAAAGG